AACUGAUACUACCUGCGGGAACCUGCGGAAGGAUCAUUACAGAGUGUUCUACCCCCUUGUAAAAUGGUGGGUUUAACCUCCCGUCCUUUGCCAGACCCCCCCUUUCGUUGGGGGGCCUUUCAAACCUUUCUGCUUCGGCGGGGUUACCCGUCGGAACACCCUCAAAAAUUCUUGGUCAAAACUGUUCGGUCCGAGAAACUUAUGAAAAUUGAAGCAAAACUUUCAACAAUGGAUCUCUAG
rnacentral:misc_RNA from 1 species